UGCGAGAGUGACAGCCGGUGUGACAACUUAGGAGGAUCCAUUAGCCACCAUCGCUGUAAGGCCUGCGUGCCCCUGAUAGCCAGCCAGGCUGUGGCAAAGGAAACACAGAUCAUCCCAGUGGGGUUACACUCGAAGUAUCCCGUGUGAGUCACAGGGGAGGUGCCAGGCAGGGAGAGGCUGUACCCACAAUUGUCACAGCACCGGACAUGGACAUGGGCAAGCUAGCAGGAAUGGGCAGCUGGAAACCCUUGAGAGUUACAUGGGCUCUGAUAGAGCCCUGCCUCCAGGUGGAGCCUGUUCCCCCCAGGCCUCUUGUUGACCACGAGCAGUAUGCCUCCCCAGGUCCACUCUAACCACAGAAGCAACACAAGGUUCCUAACUUGUCAGACCUCUGCUGCCUUCAGAGGCCCCGGAGACGCUCAGAGCCGAGGCUUGGGAGUGUCCCAAGGACCACACGUGGCUGUGGCAAGGAGCCUGUUUUCUGUGUCCGUGCAUCCUGGAAGGGUCUCUGAAGGUCGCUCAGUCUGUUCACUAGCUCCCAUGGACUCUGGUUGCAGGUGGCGGGCCCUGUAAGCAGCAGUGCCGUGACACUGGGGACGAGGUGAUCUGCUCUUGCUUUGUGGGCUACCAGCUGCAGUCGGAUGGUGUCUCCUGCGAAGGUAACAUCUGAGAGCUAGCCCCUGUGCUUCGGAGCCUCUGCUGAGCAGGCCUGCGUGGCACAACCUUUGUUCCAUUCCUGGAACACAGCUGGGACCUGCGUGCUGCCUGGACAAGGCUGUCUUCUAGAAGACUAUAGAUACAGUGUGGGCAAAGGGCUGCAUUGGGGUUCACCUGGGUUCAGGAUCUGCCGUGAGGCCUUGGGUAGAUCUUUCUUUCUGCCUUUCCCGUUGUCUAAGAGAUGGGGAUGAUGCAUGCGACCUCCUUUGUGGGAGUCUUGUAGACGCCAUGAUUCUAGGGUCUGGCCCUUACUCAAAGAGAUCUGAAACUUAACAGAGCUUGAUUUGGUGUCUGCCCCUCUCCAGAUGUGCCCACAGCAAGACUCAGCUCAGUUUGAUUGGGCAACUUGAUGAAUGCAGGAAGCCAGAUCCACCAUGGCUUCUGGGACAUUCCUUCUGCUCAAGCUUAAGGCUUGGUUGUUCUUGCUGGUUACUUCUGCAUCGCCUUAAUCUCUCUAGAUAUCAAUGAAUGCAUCACAGGCAGCCAUAACUGCCGGCUGGGAGAAUCCUGCAUCAAUACAGUGGGCUCUUUCCGCUGCCAGCGGGACAGCAGCUGUGGGACUGGCUAUGAGCUCACAGAGGAUAAUAACUGCAAAGGUACAGCUCACAUCCAAACCUAAAACUCACCCCUUCCCCAGCUGUGGGUAUGGCCUAGAGGGAAGGGCCCAUUGGGCUCUGUGGUGCUGCCCCCAUGUGGCUGCCUCAGGUACUGCAAGAAGGAGGAGGGUCCACCUCCUUGCAAAGUACACAAGGGCAAAUGAAGGAAGGUCUGUGAUGAGCAGGUUUACUUCAAUAUGAUGCUGAGUUAGUGACACUAGCCCAUUUGAUUUAGAAAGCUCGGAGCCUGAUCUUUGACAAACAAGUCCAGGGUCCUCGUUUGUGUUUCCGUACAAACAGAACCAACCCAGAUGAAGUUGAAGAUGCUUGCUAGCGCAGGUCUUGUGUAAAAAUGUUGAUCAUUGAAUUAUACGGGGUGACCCAAGAGCCAGAUGCCUUCUCUUGGCAGCCAAGCCCUUGAGCAAUCCCGCUGCCCCACCCUGCACUGCUGCCUGCCUGAGCCUCUGGACUCCAGAGCCUGGGAGCCAGGCCAGCUGAGUAGAUACACUUGAACCUUUGACAGCCGUGAACUUCGAGACAGGGCAAUCUAUCUUGUCCUAUCUUGAUGUAACUAUUGUUAAUAUUUGGACUAUUAUGAAGACCUCGAGAUAAAAAGAAUUAAAAGUCUGUGUUUAUUGUCGCUAAGAUAAUUGCUGUAUGAUCUAAUCCAAACAUACACUUCUCAAUGAAUGAUAUACCUGCCAGGAAAAUGCCUAAGCGAUUUGUUAAAUAGCAAAAAGCUUGCCUCAUAAGUCAGGGAGGAGGAGUGUUUUUUUAAGAGUGUUUUUUUAAGACUUUAGCAAUUUUUACACAGUUUGGCUCACCGUGGGCCUUUUCGUAACACCCUCUCUGUUGAAAUAUUUUGGGGUUAUAGUCUGAGAAAUGAGCCUUUUUUUUUAAAGUACUUUCUUGUGAUAUUAAAGUAUUGUGACACUCUUCUGGCUGGACUCUUGCUAACAAUCUCCUUUUUUUACGAUGCACCAGAUAUUGACGAAUGUGAGACUGGUAUUCAUAACUGCCCCCCCGAUUUUAUCUGUCAGAAUACUCUGGGAUCCUUCCGUUGCAGACCGAAGCUGCAGUGCAAGAGCGGCUUCAUACAGGAUGCUCUAGGCAACUGCAUUGGUAAGACACGCGCCGCCGUGAGCGGGGUUAGUGCGAGCAUGCGACAGUCAGCCCAGAUCAGGGCUGGUAAACUUCCUUCAUGGGCAAAAAGCAAAUGUCAUAGGCAUUGUGAACCAUGUGGCCACAGUGACUCAUCCUGGCCAGGUACAGUCUAAAGGGCACAGCGUGUAGACCCAGGUGGUGGGGCUGUGUCUCAAUAAAACUUUAUUUAUAAAACUACUGGCGAUCAGGGUUAGGUCUAAGGCCGGGUCUAAGGGUCUAAUCCCUGUGCUUUGGGUGAAGGGGUUUCAGACUCAGAGACUAUUAGAUUCGAACUUGUGCCAAGGUUCAUUUCCUUCGUUGGAGCCUCAGGUGUUUCCCCUUAAGAUGGGCGUGACUGUAGCAUCUAGCUGAGAGGCUGAGAACAAGGACCUCGGCGGUUGCUUGUGAUAGGAUGGGUACAUGAGAAGCAUCCUUUGACGUGUGGUUGCUCCCAGCCACAGCCACUUAGACCUUCGGAAAUUGUUUCACAGAAAAAUGGUUCACUUCGUAGAGACAGACUAGAGUGGCGUUCGGUGGAGACAGUUUCAAUCUGGAAAAGGAUAAGACUCAAAGAUGUGUGGGUUGAGAGCCGAGUGAACCAGUGUAUAAAGGAGCCAUGAGCUCAGUGUGAUCAUAAGAGUCCAGAGAAAGGCUGCUCAGAUAGGAGGGCUACCUGCCUCUCUCUUCUGUUGUCUUUGUGCUGCGCAGGGGCACCGCCUAGCUGUUAGCAUUUGAAGUCUUAUCUGCUUUGUAGGCAGGAACUUCUAAACCUUUGCUUUGAGGUCAGAGUCCCUUCUUCUAAACAGCUGCAGGUCUGCUGGCUGCAACCCCUCUCCUUUCAAAGGGAAAACACUAGACACUGCUGUGCAAGUUCCUCUCUUAUCUCUCCCCAGACCCUUACUUAGCGUUGCCUCUGUCUUUUCUUUGAGACGGGAUUGAAAGUUCACUUCCCCUGUCCCUGUCUUACUGCUCCCAGGUAGAACCUUUUAGGCCAGGAGUUUCACCCAAGCCCCUCCCCAUCCAGCCUGGGUCUUAGCUAGUGGAGCAGUGUCUGAGCUAUGAGUUGGCCCUUUCCCAGCCUCCUGAAAUCAGACUGUCAUUGCUACACACUCAUGCAGUAAGCAGGGUGGCUGUGACACCCCCUGGAGCAGGGAGGAAAGGGGGCCCUGCUGAGACUUGCAGCCUCCUCAGGGAGCUCAAACAGCUGAGGAUGGAAACCCUGACUCAUGGCAGGACCGGCCCUGCUCGCCUCUGUGAGAAAACCUUUGCAGGUCUCGGCAUGCCCCAGGUUUCCCUCCACAGAGUGCAAGGCUUCGAGAGCCAUCCCUCUGCACUCUCAACCCCCACCAGAUCAGAUAGAAGCCCUGGGAGAGUCCAGGAUAUUGGUCAGAUCCCAGCCUAAUGGCAUAUACAUCUUUUGUCACCUCUGUGUAGGACCACAGUGACAUCAAGGACUAGAGAUGUUCAGUGCAGAGGCCCCCUAACUUGACAUGGGGAGAGGUCCCCCUUUGUACUUACUGGUCACAGCCAAGUUAAUUUCUUCUAGAAGUAACUUCUUUUAUG
rnacentral:lncRNA from 1 species